UAGGGAAUCUUCGGCAAUGGGGGGAACCCUGACCGAGCAACGCCGCGUGAGUGAAGAAGGUUUUCGGAUCGUAAAGCUCUGUUGUUAAGGAAGAACGAGUGUGAGAAUGGAAAGUUCAUGCUGUGACGGUACUUAACCGGAAAGGGACGGCUAACUACGUGCCAGCAGCCGCGGUAAUACGUAGGUCCCGAGCGUUGUCCGGAUUUAUUGGGCGUAAAGCGAGCGCAGGCGGUUAGAAAAGUCUGAAGUGAAAGGCAGUGGCUCAACCAUUGUAGGCUUUGGAAACUGUUUGACUUGAGUGCAGAAGGGGAGAGUGGAAUUCCAUGUGUAGCGGUGAAAUGCGUAGAUAUAUGGAGGAACACCGGUGGCGAAAGCGGCUCUCUGGUCUGUAACUGACGCUGAGGCUCGAAAGCGUGGGGAGCGAACAGG
rnacentral:rRNA from 1 species